GAUGAACGCUGGCGGCGUGCUUAACACAUGCAAGUCGAACGAACGACUAUUAACAGAACCUUUCGGGGCGAAGAAUAUAGAAGUUAGUGGCGGACGGGUGCGUAACGCGUGGGUAAUCUGCCUUUGUCAAAGGAAUAACUAUUCGAAAGAAUAGCUAAAACCGUAUAACAUAUUAAUAGGGCAUCCUAAUAAUAUCAAAACGAUAGUGGACAAAGAUGAGCCCGCGUCUGAUUAGCUAGUUGGUGAGAUAACUGCCCACCAAGGCGACGAUCAGUAGCCGACCUGAGAGGGUGAUCGGCCACAUUGGAACUGAGACACGGUCCAAACUCCUACGGGAGGCAGCAGUGGGGAAUAUUGCACAAUGGGCGAAAGCCUGAUGCAGCAACGCCGCGUGAACGAUGAAGGUCUUCGGAUCGUAAAGUUCUGUUGCAGGGGAAGAUAAUGACGGUACCCUGUGAGGAAGCCCCGGCUAACUACGUGCCAGCAGCCGCGGUAAUACGUAGGGGGCUAGCGUUAUCCGGAUUUACUGGGCGUAAAGGGUGCGUAGGUGGUCCUUCAAGUCGGUGGUUAAAGGCUACGGCUCAACCGUAGUAAGCCGCCGAAACUGGAGGACUUGAGUGCAGGAGAGGAAAGUGGAAUUCCCAGUGUAGCGGUGAAAUGCGUAGAUAUUGGGAGGAACACCAGUAGCGAAGGCGGCUUUCUGGACUGCAACUGACACUGAGGCACGAAAGCGUGGGUAGCAAACAGG
rnacentral:rRNA from 1 species